UUUGAUCCUGGCUCAGGAGUGAACGCUAGCGGCAGGCCUAAUACAUGCAAGUCGAACGGUUCUUGGUUUUCGGAUCAAGGAUAGUGGCGCACGGGUGCGUAACACGUACACAACAUACCCUUUACUGGGGGAUAGCGGUGGGAAACUGCCAGUAACUACCCCAUGUCGUUUAAGGUUUGGCAUCAAAUUAUAACGAAAAUUACGGUGGUAGAGGAUUGGUGUGCGUCCGAUUAGCUAGUUGGCGGGGUAACGGCCCACAAGGCGACGAUCGGUAGGGGGUGUGAGAGCAUGGCCCCCCACACGGGUACUGAGACACGGACCCGACUCCUACGGGAGGCAGCAGUAAGGAAUAUUGGACAAUGGGCGGAAGCCUGAUCCAGCCAUGCCGCGUGAAGGAAGAAUGCGCUCAGCGUUGUAAACUUCUUUUGAAUGGGAACAAUAACCUCCACGAGUUGGGGGCUUGAGGGUACCAUUAGAAUAAGCACCGGCUAACUCCGUG
rnacentral:rRNA from 1 species